AUUGAACGCUGGCGGCAGGCCUAACACAUGCAAGUCGAACGAGUGGCGGACGGGUGAGUAAUGCCUGGGAAACUGCCUGAUGGAGGGGGAUAACUACUGGAAACGGUAGCUAAUACCGCAUACCAUCGGAUGUGCCCAGGUGGGAUUAGAUAGUUGGUGUGGUAACGGCUCACCAAGGCGACGAUCCCUAGCUGGUCUGAGAGGAUGACCAGCCACACUGGAACUGAGACACGGUCCAGACUCCUACGGGAGGCAGCAGUGGGGAAUAUUGCACAAUGGGGGAAAGCCUGACGCAGCCAUGCCGCGUGUAUGAAGAAGGCCUUCGGGUUGUAAAGUACUUUCAGCGGGGAGGCGUUACCUGCAGAAGAAGCACCGGCUAACUCCGUGCCAGCAGCCGCGGUAAUUC
rnacentral:rRNA from 1 species